UGUGAGCUAAUAUUGAAAUUCAGCCCUCAGUGAGAUAUUUUAACGUCUAGCCUCAAGGUCUAUAAAAACUGAUGGUAGUAGUUGUCAUAAGAACCUAAUUGUUAAUAUUACCCUUAUCAAUAAAAUCAAGGUGAGUUUUUGAAAUUUCUGUAAGCUCAAUUCCUGUUUAAGAAGUAGCAAAGAACUCAAGUGCAAAAACCUAAACCAAACCAAACAAAUCCCCCAAAAAACCAACAAAACCAACAAAAAUCUUAUUUGCUAAUGUCCUCAAACUUUAAUAGUAGUCAUAUUAAUACACGAACUUCACUUUUCCUUGUUGGUUGCAAUGGAGUCACAUUGUCUUCCAGUAAUCAAGGCCAUUGCUUAUUUUGUGAAUGUCUUUUGUUCCCUCCAGUUCAUCUCAUUUGUCUUUUGUUACAGACAGCUCCCUGUUACGGGCCUUUCACCACUGCCAGGAUCCUUUGCUUUCUUUCCUCACUCUCCAGUGCAGCCUCCCAGUUGGCGGGGGAACAAUGUUAUUUAGCAAGUCCCUGCUGGCCUAGAAUAGGGGUGACCACAAGGAGUCGGGGCACAGCUUGUAAAAGGCAGCAAAUAUGCCCAGAUCUUACAAACGAAUAUUUCAGCCAAAUUUCUUAAAGUUCCAAGGGCAAUUGAAAUUCUGUUUGCAUCAGAAUUGCAUAAUUGCUUUUGAGAUGUUUAAAUGAAUGAAGAAAUGAGACUCUCCUUUUGGCCUCAGUGGCUAAAGCAACAGAAAGAGAAAGGGAAAAUCUUAAGAGAGCUCUCAUCUCUACAAAACACUGUGUUUAUCACUUUCUGUAAGCCCAGCAUGAUGGUACACUCCCAUAACCCUACAAGAGGCGGAGGCAAGAGGAUCACUGCAAGUUCAAGACAAACAUUGGCUACAAAGUGAAUCCAAGGCCAGCCUGACCUGCACAGCAAACCCUCUCUCAAAAGACAAAAAUAAAUAAAUAAAUAAAAAUAAAACUUUGUUCUUUUGAAA